UGUCACUGGUUCUACCUUUAGCAGCAUCUCUCUCCUCUCCUGAUAUCCUACAAGCCUGGAAACCUGGGACUGUUCAGAGCCCCGAGAGCUAGAAUAAGUGUGCCAUGUAAUGUGGAAAGAAAAGGUACUGGGUCAAAGGGCACGGGAUUUAAAAUCUUGAUCCGAGAAGACAGUACAAGUUACAUUCUCACCAGUGAUGCAUGAGAGAACACAUUUCCUUACAUCACAGCCAACGCAAGGUACUGUCAAAUGUUUUUAUCUUUGCC
rnacentral:lncRNA from 1 species